UAGCUCACUGGUCGAGUCGGCCUGCGCGGAAGAUGUAACGGGGCUAAACCAUGCACCGAAGCUGCGGCAGCGAACGUAUCACCCAAGACAACUUUACGGAGUUGACGAUUGACGGAGCGAAGCGACGUCAAAGCGUUCAUUAAAGUCGAGUUGGCUUAGGGAUACGUUCGUUGGGUAGGGGAGCGUUCUGUAAGCCUGUGAAGGUGUGUCGUGAGGCAUGCUGGAGGUAUCAGAAGUGCGAAUGCUGACAUAAGUAACGAUAAA
rnacentral:rRNA from 1 species